GACACCGUCCACAUGGUCCUCCUCUGAACCAGUUGGAGCUUGUACUUCUACGCCUCCUCUGCGCAGUUCUGCGCCGAGACCUAAGGACAUCAUAAGGCGUCUCCAGGCCAAGGUUUCAAAGUACCGGAAGACCAUCGCAAGGCUGCGCAAGCAAGAGAAGAAUAUGCCUCGAUCGGCUGCGGAAGCUCUCAACAUCAUUCGCCCUCACGUGACAGACGAGGUAUUUCACCUACUGUCAAGCCAUGUUAAAUUGAAAUCCAAGGGCAAGGGAAAACGAUUCCCGUUAUGGUUGAAAAAGUUUUCUCUUCAUCUCAACUUCCGUGGGCCGCGGGCAUACCGUUUUUUGUCUCGUUAUCUCACUCUUCCUACUCAGCGCACACUAAGAAGAUGGCUGUCGGAUGUCAAAAUGACACCUGGAAUUAUACCAGGCAUUAUGUCAUCCAUUUUUACAAAAACACAAUCAUGGAGUAAGCGCGAUCGCGUCUGCACUCUCAUCUUCGAUGAGAUAGUGUUAAAAAAAAACUUGUCAUAUGACGUGUCACAAGAUGUUGUUCAUGGAUUUACGGAUGAUGGCUACGAACGAACCUCAACGAUUGCCGACAGAGCCCUGGUUAUCCUUCUUUCCGGAGUUUCCCAGAGAUGGGUUCAACCAGUCGCUUAUACAAUUGGGCACACGUCCACGCCAUCUACCGUAAUCCGGAACUUGUUGAUCUCGCUCACUGAGCAGUUGCAAGACAUUGGAAUUACAGUUAAAGCUGUAAUUUGUGACCAAGGGGCUUCCAAUGUAAGCUUAGCAAACCAGCUUGGUGUCACUGUGGCGCAGCCCUUUUUUUUUCGUAAAACGUGAACGCGUUUACUUCAUUUACGACGUUCCCCAUUUAGUGAAAACAACUCGGAACAACCUGCAGGCCCACAGGCUUCAUAUCGAAAAUGAGAUUGUAGACUGGGCAGAUAUUGUGAAACUGUACCACUCCACACAUGAGAUGCGACUGCGGUUGGCGCCAAAGUUGACUGAAAGACAUAUCUACCAGAAACCUUUCAGUAAUAUGAAGGUUAAGCGGGCGACCCAGGUAUUGAGUGCUUGAGUGUGCGUCGCGCUUUUAGCUCUUGUCUAUGCGAAACAGCUGCCUGAAGCAGCCAUGUCAACUGCUUAUUUUUGUGACCGCAUGGACAAGCUGUUUGAUUGCUUGAAUAGCUCCAGUCCAAAGAAAACGGAGCAAAAGUUGCGCCAUGCUAUUCGAAAAGGGCAGCCGGAUUUAGUUGAAUUUCUCGGAAAACAGCUUCCACGGAUUGCGUCUUGGAAGUUCGAAGGCAAACGUCAGCCACACACUAUCAUCGGGUGGCAAAUUACGAUCAAAGCCGUCUUGCUGCUGUGGGAAGAUGUUUCCCAGAAUUACGACUUUGAGUUUCUCCUCACGCGUCGACUUCAACAAGACCCACUUGAACAGAUGUUUGGACACAUAAGACAAAAGCAGGGACGCAACUCGAAUCCCAAUCUGCCUCAGUUCAUAUCUGGCCUGAAACACAUUGGGAUUCAGAAGCCCCUCACACUGUCACAGAAGGGAAAUGUCGAGGAGGAUGAGACGGACCUCCUCCAGGAGUUGUCCCCAUUUUCACUUAGUAGCGAGUCACUCGUGGAUGUUGUGCAGCAUGUCCCACAGGACGACUUUCCAUCUUUGGAAAACAUCACUGAGUUGGCAGCCCAUGAGGAGUCCCAUGUUAUUGACAACUCUGCUACUUAUUAUGUUGCUGGCUUCAUUGUUAAAAUGUUUACUGAGAAGGCUGCAGAAGGUUGUUGUUGUCCUGACUUGCUUAGAGAUGAGCACAGUAACCUUGAUGAGCCACAUCAGUUUUUUAUGAUGCUGAAAGCGUACCACGUCCCAGGCAAGCUCUUCGGCAACUUGACUGUGCCAUCAAGCGCAGCUUUCACACUUGUUCAGCAGCUCGAGUCAAUCUUUCUUUCUGUUAUCGAAAGUGUAGCGCACCUCCGAAGUGUUUGUGAAACAUUGUACAUAACUCUCUCGCGUGUUGGUGAUUUUAAUUUUUGCACUCCAGAGUGUCAUGCACGGUUUUUAAAAAUGUUUUGCCGAAUUCGAUUGUGCUGGCAUGUCCGUUUUGUAAAUAGAAACUUGGAUAAAGUUCGCUUCCAUUCUCGCGUCUCUGGUGUACAGCUUGAAAAGUUCAGUGGGUAGAAGAUGAUGUUUCAGCCUUUAUAUUGCAUCUCAUAAGAUAUCUGCAACAGUAAAAUUAAUUUUAUUGGAAUUUUAUUGGGCCGUGCAGACUGCACACUAGCCAUUUGUUGGGAUUAUUUGCAGUCAGUAGGUUGCACUCUACUGGUCUAUUGUAAUGACUGCUUUUUUAGAUGGUCAUGUCUGUUUUUUUCCUAUUGUGGUCAUGUGGAAUGUGUAAGUUCCCAUAUUGAUCUUUGUUAAUACUCUCUUAGGUCACUCAUCUCGGAUGCAACUUUCUUUUCUUUUGGACACUGUUUCUGCUUUACACAUAUGUGGAGCGUGAAGGAGAUUGCGAUCAGGGGUGUCCACCAACCUGGCAAGCCUGAAAUGCUCAGGGAAUUUUGGAUCACCUGGAAAAGUCAGGGAAUUAUCAGGGAAACUGUCAAAAGGUUGGCUAAAUCAGGGAAAGUGACGAGUAAAAGUGGCACGGUGGUGCGGAGCGAAGCCCGGCGAUCAGAUGUCGUCACGGUUCUGCUGAAUAACAUUGCCCGAAAUGUCAUCCUUCGAAGGAAGGAACAGCCAGGAAAUUUUAUCAAAAUAGUCAAGGGAAACCUGGAAAAAUCAUGGACUUUGGAAAAGUCAUUGGGUAGACACUUUGUAAGAUGUACCUAAUUAGGCAGUGCAGAUUGCAUGCCAAGCCUUGGUGGAAUCAUUUGUGAUGAGUGGGUCGCAGGUACACCGGGCACCAGUCUGAUUUAGCAGUCUUUUGUCAGCCAUUUCAUGUGCGCUUGUUAUGGUAGUGGUCAUGGUAAACCUUACAUCUUAAAUGUGACAUGUUAAACGUGACAUUAACGUAAAACCUGUAUUAGACCGUCGGUUGGCUUUCAGUUCUUGUUAUUUUGGUCAUUAUUGUUACUUAAAUCAGCAGGAGCAAGGUAUUUUUAAUUCUGUAGUUCAGGCUGUGUUAGGGUUAUUUAAUGACUACGUCACAGACUAAGAAGGUCUAUACUAGUGGCAAUCUUGUUUAGGCAUUUACUUGUCUGUUUUUCUCAUUGUGGUCAUCGUGCAUUUCAGAUUUCUUCUGCUGAGCGUUUUAUUUGCAUACAAAUUGCAUUGGAUCAACGAGCUUUGAUACUGCAUGGCCAGUUUUUUUUUUAGUAUGUGUUGCUGAUGCUGCAUAUGUUAUGUGUGUGGUGCACCUUCCAUGGAACAUGCUUGAGAACACAAAACAGGCUUGCAAUCCAAUUGCAGUUGUAACAUUGUAAUUCCAGUUGUUUGAUAAGAUUUUCAUGCAUGCCAUAAUAUGCUUGUCAUUUUUUUGUAGGAUGUAUUGUUUGUGAAUCCUUGAUGCACGGUGCUUAUGUUUUGUAGUUUUGGUAAUUAUAUACGAGGCACAAACUGCCCACCAUAUUUUUGUUGCGAAAAUAAACUGUGUUGAUUACUC